GUGAACGCUAGCGACAGGCUUAACACAUGCAAGUCGAGGGGCAGCACAGGUAGCAAUACCGGGUGGCGACCGGCGCACGGGUGAGUAACGCGUAUGCAACUUACCUAUCAGAGGGGGAUAACCCGGCGAAAGUCGGACUAAUACCGCAUGAAGCAGGGGCCCCGCAUGGGGAUAUUUGCUAAAGAUUCAUCGCUGAUAGAUAGGCAUGCGUUCCAUUAGGCAGUUGGCGGGGUAACGGCCCACCAAACCGACGAUGGAUAGGGGUUCUGAGAGGAAGGUCCCCCACAUUGGUACUGAGACACGGACCAAACUCCUACGGGAGGCAGCAGUGAGGAAUAUUGGUCAAUGGCCGAGAGGCUGAACCAGCCAAGUCGCGUGAGGGAUGAAGGUUCUAUGGAUCGUAAACCUCUUUUAUAAGGGAAUAAAGUGCGGGACGUGUCCCGUUUUGUAUGUACCUUAUGAAUAAGGAUCGGCUAACUCCGUGCCAGCAGCCGCGGUAAUACGGAGGAUCCGAGCGUUAUCCGGAUUUAUUGGGUUUAAAGGGUGCGUAGGCGGCCUUUUAAGUCAGCGGUGAAAGUCUGUGGCUCAACCAUAGAAUUGCCGUUGAAACUGGGAGGCUUGAGUAUGUUUGAGGCAGGCGGAAUGCGUGGUGUAGCGGUGAAAUGCAUAGAUAUCACGCAGAACCCCGAUUGCGAAGGCAGCCUGCCAAGCCAUUACUGACGCUGAUGCACGAAAGCGUGGGGAUCAAACAGGAUUAGAUACCCUGGUAGUCCACGCAGUAAACGAUGAUCACUAGCUGUUUGCGAUACACUGUAAGCGGCACAGCGAAAGCGUUAAGUGAUCCACCUGGGGAGUACGCCGGCAACGGUGAAACUCAAAGGAAUUGACGGGGGCCCGCACAAGCGGAGGAACAUGUGGUUUAAUUCGAUGAUACGCGAGGAACCUUACCCGGGUUUGAACGCAUUCGGACCGAGGUGGAAACACCUUUUCUAGCAAUAGCCGUUUGCGAGGUGCUGCAUGGUUGUCGUCAGCUCGUGCCGUGAGGUGUCGGCUUAAGUGCCAUAACGAGCGCAACCCUUGCCACUAGUUACUAACAGGUAAAGCUGAGGACUCUGGUGGGACUGCCAGCGUAAGCUGCGAGGAAGGCGGGGAUGACGUCAAAUCAGCACGGCCCUUACAUCCGGGGCGACACACGUGUUACAAUGGCGUGGACAAAGGGAAGCCACCUGGCGACAGGGAGCGAAUCCCCAAACCACGUCUCAGUUCGGAUCGGAGUCUGCAACCCGACUCCGUGAAGCUGGAUUCGCUAGUAAUCGCGCAUCAGCCAUGGCGCGGUGAAUACGUUCCCGGGCCUUGUACACACCGCCCGUCAAGCCAUGGGAGCCGGGGGUACCUGAAGUCCGUAACCGCGAGGAUCGGCCUAGGGUAAAACUGGUGACUGGGG
rnacentral:rRNA from 1 species